AACGAACGCUGGCGGCAGGCUUAACACAUGCAAGUCGAGCGCCCCGCAAGGGGAGCGGCAGACGGGUGAGUAACGCGUGGGAACGUACCUUUUGGUUCGGAACAACUCCGGGAAACUGGAGCUAAUACCGGAUAAGCCCUAACGGGGAAAGAUUUAUCGCCGAAAGAUCGGCCCGCGUCUGAUUAGCUAGUUGGUGAGGUAACGGCUCACCAAGGCGACGAUCAGUAGCUGGUCUGAGAGGAUGAUCAGCCACACUGGGACUGAGACACGGCCCAGACUCCUACGGGAGGCAGCAGUGGGGAAUAUUGGAAAAUGGGCGCAAGCCUGAUCCAGCCAUUCCGCGUGAGUGAUGAAGGCCUUAGGGUUGUAAAGCCUUUUUGUCCGGGAAGAUAAUGACUGUACCGGAAGAAUAAGCCCCGGCUAACUUCGUG
rnacentral:rRNA from 1 species